ensembl:lncRNA
AAAGGUGCCACAGGAUCUCUGUUGCUUUUUACAGAUCCAGACUAACAUGGCUACCCCUCUGAUACUUAAUGAAAGAUGAUGUCACGUGAUGAAACCUCCAGGAAUAUGUCCAACCAAAACCGGCAACCCUACGUUGGACAUAGGCUCUGGGACAGAUCUUUAAAGGCCCUUAGGCAUCAGAGUCCAACUGGAAACACCAGUCCCAGGACGGAAGAGCACUUGGGGAUGGAGGGACACGGCCUCUUUGCUGGGACCCUGCGUCCAAAGACAGAGGAGACGAAAAAUUCCUCACACAGACCCAGCAGGCGGCUCCAGGAGCUUGAAUUACAGGUGGGAGGCUCAGACAGCCUGUGGUGAGGGGGAUUUGGGCACUGGGAACAUCAGCAGUUGGGGACGCGCGGU